rnacentral:rRNA from 1 species
UACCAGCACCCCGAGUGGUCGGGACGAUUAUUGGGCCUAAAGCAUCCGUAGCCGGUUCUACAAGUCUUCCGUUAAAUCCACCUGCUUAACAGAUGGGCUGCGGAGGAUACUAUGGAGCUAGGAGGCGGGAGAGGCAAACGGUACUCAGUGGGUAGGGGUAAAAUCCAUUGAUCUACUGAAGACCACCAGUGGCGAAGGCGGUUUGCCAGAACGCGCUCGACGGUGAGGGAUGAAAGCUGGGGGAGCAAACCGG